AUUGAACGCUGGCGGCAGGCCUAACACAUGCAAGUCGAACGAGUGGCGGACGGGUGAGUAAUGUCUGGGAAACUGCCCGAUGGAGGGGGAUAACUACUGGAAACGGUAGCUAAUACCGCAUACCAUCGGAUGUGCCCAGAUGGGAUUAGCUAGUAGUUGUGGUAACGGCUCACCUGGGCGACGAUCCCUAGCUGGUCUGAGAGGAUGACCAGUCACCCUGUAACUGCGACACGGUCCAGACUCCUACGGGAGGCAGCAGUGGGGAAUAUUGCACUAUGGGCGCAAGCUUGAUGCAGCCAUGCCGCGUGUAUGAAGAAGGCCUUCGGGUUGUAAAGUACUUUCAGCGAGGAGGCGUUACUCGCAGAAGAAGCACCGGCUAACUCCGUGACAGCAGCCGCGGUAAGUC
rnacentral:rRNA from 1 species